rnacentral:tRNA from 1 species
ACAUUGGUGGCUCAGUAGUAGAGUUCUCGCCUACCACGCGGGAGACCUGGGUUCAAUUCCCAACCAACACA